rnacentral:rRNA from 1 species
UAGUCCUAGCUGUAAACGAUGAGCACUGGGUAGGGGGUCUCUGAUGGCCUCCCUGCCGAAGCUAAUGUGUUAAGUGCUCCGCCUGGGGAGUAUGGUCGCAAGGCUAAAACUCAAAGGAAUUGACGGGGGCUCACACAAGCGGUGGAGGAUGUGGUUUAAUUCGAAGCAACGCGCAGAACCUUACCCGGGUUUGAAAUGUAGGGAUUAGGCCCCUGAAAGGGGUUGACGCCGCAAGGUGGAACCUACACAGGUGUUGCAUGGCUGUCGUCAGCUCGUGUCGUGAGAUGUCGGGUUAAGUCCCUUAACGAGCGAAACCCUUGUCUUUAGUUGCCAGCGGGUAAUGCCGGGGACUCUAAAGAGACUGCCGUUGUUAAAACGGNGGAAGGUGGGGAUGACGUCAAGUCAUCAUGGCCUUUAUGUCCGGGGCUACACACGUCCCACAAUGGCCGGUACAAAGGGANCGAAACCGCGAGGUGGAGCAAAUCCCACAAAGCCGGUCUCAGUUCGGAUUGCGGGCUGAAAUUCGCCCGCAUGAAGUCGGAA